GUGCCAGCCGCCGCGGUAAUACGGAGGGUGCAAGCGUUAUCCGGAUUCACUGGGUUUAAAGGGAGCGUAGGUGGCUUUGUAAGUCAGUGGUGAAAGCUCGGAGCUUAACUCCGGAACUGCCAUUGAUACUGCUUAGCUUGAAUCGGUUCGAGGUGGAUGGAAUGUGACAUGUAGCGGUGAAAUGCUUAGAUAUGUUACAGAACACCGAUUGCUGAGGCAGUUCACCAGACCCGUAUUGACACUGAGGCUCGAAAGCGUGGGGAUCAAACAGGAUUAGAUACCCUGGUAGUCCACGCCCUAAACGAUGUAAACUCGACAUUAGCGAUAUACAGUUAGUGUCUUAGCGAAAGCGUUAAGUUUACCACCUGGGAAGUACGACCGCAAGGUUGAAACUCAAAGGAAUUGGCGG
rnacentral:rRNA from 1 species